rnacentral:lncRNA from 1 species
AUGAGAUCACAUAAGAUGUUCGCUCUCCUUAUUAGGAGUGACUGAUCCCUUAUUGAUCACUCACAACCUCCAUGUACUCUUUACCAUAUCCAGAAUACCCCACAUAAGGAUCAAAGAACCAAGUUAGGAAGUGGACUAAAAUAUGGAUCUAAGCACACAAGGUACCAUGGUGAUCUCAGGUCAAAAGAUCACUUACACAACUCCCACU